GCAAGUCGAGCGCUACCUUCGGGUGGAGCGGCGGACGGGUUAGUAACGCGUGGGAACGUACCCAGAUCUAAGGAAUAGCCACUGGAAACGGUGAGUAAUACCUUAUACGCCCUUCGGGGGAAAGAUUUAUCGGAUUUGGAUCGGCCCGCGUUGGAUUAGUUUGUUGGUGGGGUAAUGGCCUACCAAGACUACGAUCUAUAGCUGGUCUGAGAGGAUGAUC
rnacentral:rRNA from 1 species